rnacentral:rRNA from 1 species
AAACCAGCACCUCAAGUGGUCAGGAUGAUUAUUGGGCCUAAAGCAUCCGUAGCCUGCUCUGUAAGUUUUCGGUUAAAUCUGUACGCUCAACGUACAGGCUGCCGGAAAUACUGCAGAGCUAGGGAGUGGGAGAGGUAGACGGUACUCGGGAGGAAGUGGUAAAAUGCUUUGAUCUCUCGAUGACCACCUGUGGCGAAGGCGGUCUACCAGAACACGUCCGACGGUGAGGGAUGAAAGCUGGGGGAGCAAACCGGAUUAGAAACCCGAGUAGUCC